GCAAGGGUGCGUGUGCCGCUCCCGCCGAGCGUUAGCUCGGUUUUUCCCCCUUUAGCCUUCAAGCACCGAAUUCUGCAGGGUACAAAGAAGGCUAAAAGGGAAAAAACCGAGCCAACGCUGAGAGGGAGCGGCGCACGUGCCCUCGC